CCUACGGGGGCUGCAGUGGGGAAUAUUGGACAAUGGGCGAAAGCCUGAUCCAGCCAUGCCGCGUGUGUGAAGAAGGCCUUCGGGUUGUAAAGCACUUUCAGUGGGGAAGAAAGCCUUGGGGCUAAUACCCUCGAGGAAGGACAUCACCCACAGAAGAAGCACCGGCUAACUCCGUGCCAGCAGCCGCGGUAAUACGGAGGGUGCGAGCGUUAAUCGGAAUUACUGGGCGUAAAGCGCGCGUAGGCGGUCUGAUAAGCCGGUUGUGAAAGCCCCGGACUCAACCUGGGAACGGCAUCCGGAACUGUCAGGCUAGAGUGCAGGAGAGGAAGGUAGAAUUCCCGGUGUAGCGGUGAAAUGCGUAGAGAUCGGGAGGAAUACCAGUGGCGAAGGCGGCCUUCUGGACUGACACUGACGCUGAGGUGCGAAAGCGUGGGUAGCAAACAGGAUUAGAUACCCGAGUAGUC
rnacentral:rRNA from 1 species